rnacentral:rRNA from 1 species
GACGAACGCUGGCGGCGUGCCUAAUACAUGCAAGUCGAGCGAAUCGAUGGGAGCUUGCUCCCUGAGAUUAGCGGCGGACGGGUGAGUAACACGUGGGUAACCUGCCUGUAAGACUGGGAUAACUUCGGGAAACCGGAGCUAAUACCGGAUACUUUCUUUUCUCGCAUGAGGGAAGAUGGAAAGAUGGUUCUGCUAUCACUUACAGAUGGACCCGCGGCGCAUUAGCUAGUUGGUGAGGUAACGGCUCACCAAGGCAACGAUGCGUAGCCGACCUGAGAGGGUGAUAGGCCACACUGGGACUGAGACACGGCCCAGACUCAUACGGGAGGCAGCAGUAGGGAAUCUUCCGCAAUGGACGAAAGUCUGACGGAGCAACGCCGCGUGAGCGAAGAAGGCCUUCGGGUCGUAAAGCUCUGUUGUUAGGGAAGAACAAGUACGAGAGUAACUGCUCGUACCUUGACGGUACCUAACCAGAAAGCCACGGCUAACUACGUGCCAGCCGCCGCUGUAAGAC